AAAGUUUCUGGGUUGUUUCCCUUUGCUUCCUCUCACCCUCGCUCCCCCUCGGAGCCGCAGAGCCAGCAAUUGUGCAAGAGGAGCCGAGCGCGCAGGGCGCGUAUCACGGAGCGCAUGGUACAAGCCGCCGGCUCGGUGAUUAAUUAUCAGUGGCCGCUGGCCUCGCACUAACACCUAGCUUUCCCGGCAGGGCCAGCACACCCAGCCGCCGCCAGCUCGGCCGGACGGAGGAGAGGCUCUGGGGAGGACGCCGAGGCUGCUCCGGAGUGAGCCCUUAGGGAAACCAUGAAGUAACCCUGCACAUUCCAGUAACACAGUUAUGACAAAAUAGAGCCCAAGUAUGAAGUGAUCAAUUUUUUUGUAAAUGUUAAGAAAGAAAAACAGCAGAAACAAAAGUGCACAUAACAAUUCAAGAUUUCUUUAAAAAAAAAAAAAAAAGAAAGUAACUUACCUGUUGGGACAUUCUGAAUAAAAGACACACUGAGAGAUACACACUUCUGCACGCUCCAAGCAGCACCACGAUCUCAGACCGACGGUGCACAGGGUGAGGAGAAGCUGGGGCCCUUCCCAGGGAAUUUCCCCCAACAAUGCUUUCAGGUUAAAGAAUUGCAAAUACUAAAGGCUAUGUGUUGGCUUUCCCACGUUGACCGAUAGUGAGAGAUGUACCAUGAAAAUUAAGAAGUACAUCAACUAGGUCUAAAUGGCACCCACGAUAUCCAAGACAAUAUGGGAGUGGGAAUACCUCCACCUCAUCAAAGCUCACACACAGAGUAAGAAACUCCCAUGCAGUUUACAAUGUAAAAACAGACUGGAGAACUGAAGAAAAACAUAACAUUUUGAAAGUGAUUUCUGAUGUUUAUGAUGUUCAACAUUUAAACUGUAUUUUCACAGAACUUCAAUAAAAUCCAACUUAUUGAUUGCUAUAAA